GGGCGAGUGGCGGAAUUGGCAGACGCGCUGGACUUAGGAUCCAGUAUCGCAAGAUGUGCGGGUUCAACUCCCGCCUCGCCCACCA
rnacentral:tRNA from 1 species